GGGGGCAAGCGUUGUCCGGAAUCAUUGGGCGUAAAGAGCGUGUAGGCGGCCCGAUAAGUCCGCCGUGAAAGUCCAGGGCUCAACCCUGGAAUGCCGGUGGAAACUGUCGGGCUGGAGUCCGGAAGAGGCGAGUGGAAUUCCUGGUGUAGCGGUGAAAUGCGUAGAUAUCAGGAGGAACACCAAUGGCGAAGGCAGCUCGCUGGGACGGUACUGACGCUGAGACGCGAAAGCGUGGGGAGCAAACAGG
rnacentral:rRNA from 1 species